rnacentral:rRNA from 1 species
UACGUAGGGGGCAAGCGUUGUCCGGAUUCAUUGGGCGUAAAGAGCGUGUAGGCGGCCAGGUAGGUCGGUUGUGAAAACUGGAGGCUCAACCUUCAGAGGUCGACCGAAACCAUCUGGCUAGAGUCCGGGAGAGGAGAGUGGAAUUCCUGGUGUAGCGGUGAAAUGCGCAGAUAUCAGGAGGAACACCGGUGGCGAAGGCGGCCAUCUGGCCCAUUUUUGACGCUGAGGCGCGAAAGCGUGGGGAGCAAACAGG